GGAAUCCUGAUGGGCAAGACAAACUUCAGGAUGAAGUCCUAAAGAAGUGGCUAUAGAAGUCUCUGCUCAGAGGCCUGUUCACUCAUGAAGAAAGCUGUGGGAUGGGAUGCAGAAUCUCAAGGAUGGGCAUAGUUAGAGAUCUGCACAUGGCCAAGAAGUAAUGUGUGCAAUAUAGCAAGCAGAGAGUGAGAGGGAAGGUACAGCUGAUCUUGGACAAAUGGCCCAUUGAUCGAACAACUGAUUACGAGAUCGUGUCAGCCUCAUCAAGAGCACC